AUGCACCCUGGCUAGUUGGACAAUGGAGAUCUCCGUUUGGCUGACUGGUUAGCGCGUGUGACUGUCACCCGGGAGUCUGGGGAUUGAAUCCCGAUUGGACCAUUUUUUUUUAUAUCCCCCACAGAUCUCUGAAGAAUUCACAGCAUUGACAGCUUCAGCAACGCUGUGCCACUCGGUGGGUUUUCUCUUAUUUGUUUUGCAAAAGCACUUCCUUUCAUUUCUCCACCUCACCCACAAGUACCUGAAUUUCUGCUUCUGUGAAAUUGUGCUUCCUUGAUCUGCCUUGAUCUACAGUCGCCAUGUCAUUGGCGGAGCGCUGCAACAGCCGGCUUAUGUCUAUGCAUGAGAUCCACAAGGCACUUUGCAUUGACUAUUUAUGGCAGUAAGUGGGCGUGGUGAGAGCGGUAUGUGACUAAAAUGCAGCUGAGAAACAUUCUCGUUAGUCUCCGAUUUAUGAAGCGGAGAUUGCGUGCAGCUGUGCGUACUCCAUGUUUGAUAGAUCACAAACCUGCUUGGCGUAAGUACAUUUUUAUUUUGCUGAGCUCAAGUACGGUUUUAGCAAGAAUUCUAUGCAAUGUUUGAUAAAUGAGACCCCAGAACCUUUUGUUUCAUCGUCACGUCUCACAACGGUGUGUUUAGGUGUGUGUGUGUGUGUGUGUGUGUGUGUGUGUGUAUGUUUUAAGUGCCUAUCAAUUGAUCAUUGUAUGUUUAUAUUUGAACUCGUUUCCACCGUGAUCCUGGUUGACUUUCUUUUCCAUCGGCACAUGCAGCUUUGGUCAGUGAGGCUGAGAGCUUGUUAGAAAGAUGCUUGCUGCCGUGACGAUUACAACCGAGUAUAGUUUGGUUGGAAGUAAACAGUCAGUCAGUGAGAAGCUGGUUUCAGUUCACCUGGAAUUCUGAUCAGAAAAAUCCUCCAAUCUUUAUUUUCUAAUUUAGAAUCAGUGGAAUGUCAUCAGAGAUCUGAUAAAAACGGUUCCCUAUGACCCUAGUGGUCGCUGGGUCAACAUGAGUAAAAAUCUGAUAUUUUUGGUCAAAUUUGACACACCAGCACACUUUUGUUUCUCCUAAUAACAUUUCCACAAAAUUUUGACAAAGUGAGGAAGAAACUCAUGUUUGAAAAAAACAUUUUUUUCUUUUUAAAUUAGAGUAAAAAAAGAAAAGUAAUUAUUUCUUUUGUACUCGGCUCACUCAGCUUGUGGAUGCUGGUGAAACCCGAAGCCCUGUUAGGUUCUCUAGGUGUUCUGGAUUUAACUGUAGCUGUUUGGAUUCAGAACCUCAGAAGUACGCUCUCUGGUUCUCUUUUUGGUCUUCAUCACGUCAUCUUCCUCUGUGUGCUUGUAUGUUUGGGCCAGCUAAUGAAGAAGCAGCUUUUUGUUCCUUGUUGGAGAAAAACAUCAGAUAAAGCAGCUUCACCAUCAGGUUUCUCUGUGUGUCUGUGUGUGUGUGUGUGUUCACGUCUGAUGUGGGAAGUGUGUGUGUUUCCUGUUCUCACCUGCUGAGCGAGCGCCGGUCAGUGAAGCAGGACGUCCGAGUGGAAACAUCCCAUCAUCAGUUUAACCUCUGGAUCCGAGCAGCCAGCAAACAUGCACGUUUUGUUUGGAUGAUGCAGCUUUUGCUGGAAACAUUAUUUAUUUUUUGUGUUUAUGGUCAGAAAAAAACUUCAAGGGAAUAAUUAGCUCACCUUCCGCUUAUUGAAACUUUCAGCGGAUGAAUAAAAUCCUGUAAAAGAGGAACUUGGUCAGCCUUUUCUCUCCAGAUAACUUCAGGUGUAAAUCUGUCGUUUGUACGUUUCUCAUGCUGCGACAUGACUUGUGACCCCGUGGAGCUUUCUGUUGGCUAACCCUGGUACACUCAGCUGUAUGUGACUUCUGAUGUUGCAGUGUUGUGUUCUGUAAUCUGGGAUGGGGAGGGGCUAAUCCAGAGUUGCUACUGUAGGUGCACAGGGUCUAUUUGUUGCAGUUGGGUGGGGUGUUUUUUUUUGUGUGUGUGUGUGUGUGGGGGGGGGGGGUUACCAUAGCUACAGCUCCAUUGAAAGUGAAGUUCUCAGUAUAUUUCCACGUCUAUAAAGCCUCUGCUAAAGACUGAUGACUGUUCACUUAGAGCUCAAUAAAUUUCUAUAAAUAAUUUAGAUUGCUCAAACUGAUUGUGUGCAAUUGUAAUGAUGAAAAUUCAAUAAAAAAGAGGUAUUUUUACACAAUAAGUUCUGUUUCUGUUCUGUCUCGUUACUGUGUGUGUGUGCGUGUGUGUGUGGGGGAUCAAUAGUGUCGAAAACCAAAGCAAUCUGAGUGCAGAAUGCAAAACAAAAACUUAUUUCCACAUUUUAACUGCAGUUUUUCUAAGUCAGAGCCUCGCUGGGCAGGCUGCAAAAUGCAUCUGUGUGCAUAAAUGUAGGAUACAGAGAAGUGCAGACAUGCAGCGCUUUGAUGAGACUGAAAAAACGGGUGGUCCAAUAGUUGCUUUAGCAGCUAGCUGAGGUUUUUAGACAAACGCCAGAGAACCAUUUUAUGGUUUUGUUUUAAAUCUCCACAAUAUAGCAUUAUAAAAAAGGUUUUAAGCUAAUUUGUUUUCCACAUUUAGGAUUGCAGUUUUAUAUCUAACCAGAACCCUUGGGACAGAUGAUGUAACGUUUUUAGUGCAAAUAGUUUCGAUGUAGUCACAAAAUGUCUCGAAUUGUUAGUUUAUUGUUUUUUUAUUUUCCUUUUGGUCCCAACUCCACCCAAAGUUACUUAACAUUUCUCUACUUUCUGACUCUGAAAACAGACAGAAGGAUUCCAGAUCGAUCCCAGCAACAACAUUGGCUUUAAUAAUGCUGCUGAUCAGAAUUGACUGAUAUUUAUUAUGAUUGGCAUAAACAGCGAUAGGUUGAUCUAAAACCCAGGAAUCUAAAUUUUAAUAUCAGUAUAUAAAUCCACUGUCAAGCAGCAAUACAAAAAAUCUGAUGUUUUACUGGUCUGUACAUGCAGCUAACGGAUUUUCCUCAUGAAGAAUCUGAAUUUCUAGCUUCUUUUUUUCUGUUAAUUCUUGUUGGAGAUAAAUUAUGUCAGCCCUCAAACACCAGAAUCAGCGUAUCUCUGUUUCCAUCAACAGUUUUAUUCUCAGAAACAUAACAAGGAGGAAUCCGAGAACCCUCGAUGAGCUUUGGAGUCUUUUUGGAAACUUGCUGUUCAGUUUGUCACCACCGACCUCAGCCCAGUGGGAGGUUGCUAGUUCAUCACCAACUAUAGCUGCAGCCACAAUCCAAGCAUAUUUUCUAUAGGAUUCAGUGUUUCCCAACAGACCAAAAUAGGGAUGUGUAUUGGUGAAAUUCUGGCAAUACGAUAUGCAUCACAAUACGGUGGAGACGAUACAAUGUGCCAUGAUAUAUUGCGAUACAUUCAGCCAGACAAUAGCAGCGAUUUUUUUAGACUGAAUCUAUUGUAGGAAAUUUCAAUAAACUGCCCAAACUGAUACUUAAAAUGUUUAUCGUGAUGUAUCUGAACCAUAAUAAAGAGAUUUACAUUUCAAUAGUGGAAACAAAACCCACUGCACACUGCUGCCAACUAGAAGUCGGCAUUUGAAUUACACCAAAGGAAAUGAAAAUACACAAAUGUUUGCAUGUGAAUUCUUCCCAAAAUUCGAUACACGGCUUUUGAAAAUUGAUAUAAUAUUGCAGGAAACAAUAUCACAAUAUAUUGCCAUAUCGAUAUUUUCUUACAUCCCUAGACCAAAAUAUUUGUCACACACCUGAAAAGCUCCUGUUCUGCUUUUCUGACUAACAGCAGGAAGACCAUUUAAUAACCAUUUUCAUCAGAAUUGAUUUUCACAUCAUGCUUUUAAAUAUAACAAAAUUGAGUGGGUUUUUAUUUUUCUUGCUUUCAAAAUACAUUCAUAAACUUUUUUUUACAUUGGCAGAAAGAGCAAACCUCCAGUUUUAUACUCAAACUGUAAGCUUGUUCAGUUUUAAUGAAACAAUUUACUAUAGCUCAGAAGUUAAACUUUUUUAUUUUUUUCAAAUGCUGCGUUCAUAAACCUAAUAUUUAAAUAAGCAUCUCCUGUUUGUCCUGAAACAUCUGAGAUAAACAGAUGAAAGAGUUGAUGAAGGUGGAAAAGAAGCUGCUGGGGCUCUGAGGACAUUUGUGUUAACAUUGAAAAGGGAAAUGGUGGCCUUCUCCCAGAGCUCAGCCUUCAGGUGUGCCCUAAACGCAGAAAGGUGUUCACAAGGAUGAAGACGAGGAUGAAGAGUCUGCUGGUCAGAUGAACAGAAACGUGUCACAAGCUCACAUGUCUGACUCUCUACAAAACUGGGAGGAAGUUUUCUGAUGGGUGAACUCGACGGCUGAGGCUGUUGGAGGAAGGAAGAUGCUGCUGGAGCCAAAAAUAGGCUACCCGUGUGUGUGUGUGUGUGUGUGUGUGUGUGUGUGUGUGUGUGUGUGUGUGUGUGUGUGUGUGUGUGUGAUAACAGACUGUAGCAGGUGCUGUGAAAUACAAGCAGUUGCAUUUCAUUUACUCUAACCUCUGUUUUGCAUAACAGAUUUUGUUACGUUUUAGUUUGUUAUUUUUUUCAACACAACAUCCUCGGUGAGUUCAGUGGGUUCAAUCCCAGCUCCGAGGCUGCCAUGGAGCUGCUGCAUUAUGUGACUGAGAAGGAGGAAGCCACGAGGGCAAUGGAGGAAUAACAGAGGGCAGAAUUUGAUGAAGAGAUAAGAAGUUAAAAAUGUUUAAACGUUUACCAGAAUUUAAAAGACAGACAUCCUCUGUGGGUUAAGUCUGUAAAUUACUGAGGAAAGAAAUGAAAAAGCAAAGGACGUUUUCUAAGAAAAACCUAGAAGAGACAGAUGGUUCCAAACCAAAGACACAGAAGCAAAGAAUGGAAACUGGAGCGAUGGUUGGGUGUAACAGAUAAUUAUAUAAAAAAGGAAAGACGUAGGAAAAACAGAAUGAAGAGGAAAGAAGGAAUCAAAAAUUAUCAUUAAAAAACAUUUAAAAAAGAAAGUACAAAGAGACAUCAGAAGAAAAAAUAACAAUCAGGAAGAUCAAAAGGUUAAAAAUCGAUUAAGAUGAAUGAAACAAAAAAAUUAAAAGUUAAAUAUAGAACAGAGUCUAAAAUGUUAAAAUAUUUACCAGGAAAUGAUCAGCACAGAGGUGGUAUAAAGUAGCUGAUUAAAAUGGAUGAAAUACAGUCUCACCAGAGUAAUUUUAGACAGUGAAAUUAUGACAUUGAUAUUUUUUUCUGUGAAAUUUUGUUUGGAUUUUUCCAGCUUAAAAUAAAUUGUUCAGUUUUAAUAAAACAAUUUACUAUAGCUCAGAAGUCCCAAGUCUAAAGCCCUUUUUACAAGACACGCCAUGCCGGCAAAUCAGCGUAAUACUAUCACAACAGUGUGUCUUAUAGAUGUGCCAUGUCGUUAUGGCGAUGCAUGAGUUUUGUGGAAUUUGUUUCGCUUCACUUGGUAGUAGUAUUGCAGUAAUGGUCUGUCUUAUAAAUGGCGAUUGCGCCAUGGUGCAACAGAGGGUGGUGUCAUGAUCACAUGGGGAGUUUCUGCUGGGCUGCCAACAGCAACUAUAUUGAAAAUGCAAGUAAGCACUGGCUGUAAGUUUCACUUUUGUUAACAAGCAGCUGAGAUGAUACACCGAAGCAAUGCAGCGCUCCUGGAGCUUCCCUCCGUUAGAGCUGGAGGUCAGAUCACCAGAGACUGCAUGGGAACUGUGGAGUACGGAUACCUUUAGGAGCGGCUUGUCAAAAAACAUCAAUCAAUCAAUCAAUCAAUCAAUCAAUCAAUCACAUUUUAUUUGUAUAGCGCCUUCCACUGCCUUUACAGAUGCCCAAGAUGCUGAACACAACAUAAAAACAGUAAAAGAACAAAAAGACAGAUUAAAUACCACAUAAAAAAGACUAAAAUGAUAAGACAUACAUGAUAAAAGACUUCAAUUCUAAAAGUCCAUAUUAUAUAAAAGCUAAAUGAUAAAAAUGAGUCUUCAAUCGACUCUUGAAGCCCUGCAGUGAUGGGGACUGUUUGAUAACAAGUGGGAGCUCAUUGCAUAGUGUUGGAGCAAGGACCGAAAAGACCCUAUCACCUCUUGUUUUGAACCUUGUAUGUGGGGCGAUGAGCAAAUCCUGAUCAGCCAAGCGAAGGGAGCGUGUAGGAGCAUGCAUCUGUAACAACCCAGCCAGAUAUAGGGCACCACUGAGAUGAGCCUGGAAGACAAACAACAGAACUUUAAACUUUGCCUGGUAAGCCACAGGUAGCCAGUGUAGGGAAGCCAGGACAGGAGUAACAUGUGUUAUCUUUUUCGAGCCUGUCAGGAAUCUAGCUGCCGAGUUCUGCACUAACUGCAAUCGUUUCAUUGCUGCCUGACUCAGCCCAACAUAUAAUGCAUUACAGUAAUCAAGCCGUUAUUAAACAAAAGCAUGCAAGACAGACUCAAGUUGCGUCCUAGACAACAUCGGUUUGAUCUUGGCCAGACGGCGCAAGUGAAAAAGCAGGUUCUAUCCUGGUUUAUGUGGCUGUCAAAUUUAAGUUCGCUGUCAAUUACAACCCCGAGGCUUCUGACAGUAGGGUGUCAAAGCAUUCAAAUCAGGAGCAGAGCUCACACACCUCUUGCUAGAAGGGAGGAUUGUAAUAAGCUCGGUCUUGCUCUCAUUAACAUGAGGAAAGUUUGCUGCUGGCCGCAACUCCACCUCAUCCAGACACAACGAUCACGGCUUCAAUCGCAAUAAAAAGCAAGUUAUAUCCAAGAUAAACGGAAGUCAGCGGCAGAGCAGGGACCGCCCCCAUACCCUCUUUAUACCACCAUCGCCUAAUCUUUUAUAAAAAGGACACGAUUACGCCACAUUACCACCACGGUCUGACCACUUAUAUACGGCCCUAGGCUUGCCAAGGCGUUGUGGCAAAUUAAUGGCCUUGUUGUGUACAAACGGCUAAAGUCAUCGUCACUCAAUGGAGUCAAGUGGCUUUAAGCCAAUCAAACUACGCUUCUGUGGUCACGUGACACCAGCGGAGUGUCGAUUCAUUCGAUUGAUGGCUUUGGCUUGGGUCACCAGGAGGUCACCUCAUUUGUUGUUGCAGAACUUUCACUGUUGAAGUUUUAAGAUGAAAUUGUUGCUGGUAUAUUUUAAUUCAAAACAUUUCAAACUCAUAAUUCCACAGACAAAAGAUUCUUUGUCAUAAAUUCAGCAUUAUAUUCUGUUGAGAUUUCAGUUCUUCACAGAUAAAUGACUCAACAGUAUACCAUAAAUCCUCUAAUACAGGUCCAGGCCUGUAUUUUACUCAAGCUCAUCAAGCUCCAGGCCUUUAUUGGAAGGAGGGCCAGAAUUAGAGGCAGGCCUCAAUUUCUAUUUGAGCAAAACGAACUACCAGUAGAAUGAAUAAAAACGGGGUGUGUCUGUUUAAACCUAUAAAAUACUAGUUUCAGUUAUUGAAAAUGUACAGUUACCGUAACGUGGUACGGUUUGCAUAUAAAACAUUAACAACAAGGCUAAAUUACAAUAGUGAAAAACUGUAUUGUAACAAAACAAUAGCAAAUAUACCUGUGCUGCAUUUUAAACGUUAUUAAAUACCGGUAUUAGAAAAGGCAACAGCCACCAUACCGCUUCAAAGUUGAAUCGUUUCGUCUCGUUUGGGUUGUAGUAAAAAAUAAAAUAAAACCCCUCAAAUUCAAUUCAAUCUUUGUCCAGUUUAAAGUAAAAAAAUAAAAUACCGGUAAUCCAUUUCAGUUUAAUCCUCAUCCAGUUUGUUGGGUCGAUGUUAAAACGUUUAGCAGCUUGCUCCACAGAGUGUUCUGCAGCAUAAUCAGCACGUUCUCUUUGAACUUGAUAUCAAAUUUUCGCCUCCUCUUCGGCUCCGCACCUGCCAUGGUUAAAGUUACCCUCGCGGUCUAUCACUGGCAAAUCAAAAGUGAGACGGAUGACACAGCCGCCCCCCUGUGGUACUUGCCUGUUACCACAUUCCACCCGGCCACAAUAAAAAAAAACGGCCAUUAUUCACCUCCGCCGACUCCGACACCGGCCAAAAUGUGAUACCCGGCCGUUAAUUGAAUGCAGGCCUGUAUUAGAGGAUUUACGGUACUCUGAAAUUAUUCUGAUAAACACAUCCAAACUAGAGUUGCAAUGAUACCACUUUUUUCCAAACCGAUACGAUACCGAUACUUGGAUCUGAGUACUCGCCGAUAUGGAUACGGAUACUUCUACCACACAAAAAAUGCAAGGAAUUGGAAUACAGGUUUUAUUUUUUUCUCUGUUUUCAACAGAAAAAGAAUCAGCAGGUAGAUACAAAAUAAAAAAUAUUAUUAGAAAUGAUCACAAAACAAACAUUUUCAGUAAACAGAAAUGACAAGUUACAGUGAAGCCACUUUCAGGCAACUGCAUUGGUAUUGGUUCCUGGUAUCAAUUAACUUUUUACCCAUCUCUAAUCCAAACAUAAUUAUGAACAAAGUAACUCCAAAUUGAAAAUGACUAUUGAAUAAAUCUAAAUUUUAUUUUGUCAUUUUGAAUCUCAGAUAUAUACUUCAUGGAGAAUUUUUUAUUCACGUAACAAAAAGGUGAAUAAUUUAGUUUGAAGUUAAAAUUUCAAUACUUUGGUAAAAGAAAUUAGCUACUAAAAAGGCAAAAAUAGAUGAGAGAAGUUUGUUUCGUGUCACCUGUAAAACUGGUCAAAUUAAAUUAAAUUCAUAAAAAAUUGAUUACAUUUUAGUUAAUUAAUUAAAUAAAUAUUUUUGUCUCGUAUUACAAUUAAAUGGCAGACACUGUUGCAAAAUAAAUGAUUUUCCAGAUGACAAAAUAUCAGGUCUGAAAUUCAGCUGGAGGCUGCAGUUGGUACUUUGGCCUCUCAGGUUGCAGGUUUCAGUCCCAGCUGCAGCUUUCCUGCAGACCAAAAACAAUCAUUUUAUGUUAACGAGAGACACUAAAUUGUGUGUAAACUAUGUGAACGGCUGCUUGUCUCUGUACAGAUGGACCUGUAAACUGUCCAGGGUGACCCUUGCCCCUUGGCUGAUGACCACAGGAGUUAGACACAAGCUCCCCACGACCUACGUGAGGAAAACGUGAUUCAGACGAAGAGCCACCAGCUGCAGCUGAUCUCAUCACCAAGGCCCAGGAGAUUUAAGGAGCAGUGUGACACUUCACAACGCCGGACGAUUGCUCAGUUUUGGGUUUUCACUCCACACUCCACUAUCUCCAUACCAGCUCGGAUUCCUGUACUUCAGAUCACGCUGUCUCCUCCCCUGGCCGCCCACUCUCAGCCGCUCACCUGCACCCAUCAAGCCUCUGCUCCUACCUCCUCUCUGAUUCAACAGUUCCUCCUUCUUCUGGAGCCUUCCUGCUCACCCGGACCUGACCUAGCCCUUCCAGAGGCUCUCGCCACUAUCUACUUCAAAUCCUCUCCUGGAGUCUUGCUGCCAGCCUGCACGUCGUCUGUUCCCGUUCCUCUCAUUUAAUAAUAAAGAACGUUUUUAUUUA